rnacentral:rRNA from 1 species
UACUGAGCCGUACCACGCAGUGGAAAAGCGCCACAAGACUGGUUGCCCACUGAAGCUAAGCAGGGCUGAGCCUGGUCAGUACCUGGAUGGGAGACCUCCUGAGAAAACUAGGUUGCUGCUGGAA